rnacentral:rRNA from 1 species
ACUCCUACGGGAGGCAGCAGUGGGGAAUUUUCCGCAAUGGGCGAAAGCCUGACGGAGCAACGCCGCGUGAGGGAUGAAGGCCUCUGGGCUGUAAACCUCUUUUCUCAAGGAAGAAGACCUGACGGUACUUGAGGAAUAAGCCACGGCUAAUUCCGUGCCAGCAGCCGCGGUAAUAC